rnacentral:rRNA from 1 species
UACGUAGGGGGCAAGCGUUGUCCGGAUUUAUUGGGCGUAAAGAGCGCGUAGGCGGUCCGGUAAGUCCGCUCUGAAAGUCCGGGGCUCAACCCCGGGAGGCGGGCGGAGACUGCCGGGCUAGAGUCCGGAAGAGGCGAGUGGAAUUCCUGGUGUAGCGGUGAAAUGCGCAGAUAUCAGGAGGAACACCAGAGGCGAAGGCGGCUACCUGGACAAUUGCUGACGCUCAGGCACGAAAGCGUGGGGAGCAAAAGGG